CACUGCCAUCAUAUCCACAGGGUACUGAGGAGGUUGAACAACGUGUACUCAUCAGCAUAUGUUUUAGCCUGUGCUCAACUAUGUGUCCUUUCCUCAGUGGUCCAGUAGUGGGAGAGGACAAUAUUUAGGUCCUUCCAGGUCACCACGCCACCAUGUAACUGCUGGGGGUCGCCUGACACAGGACCAGGCGGGGUGGGGAUGACGUCAGACGCACGCAGACGUGGAGAGGCGGGCCAAACGCUGGGGGAAAAACGCUGCGCCGGACUGCUCUUCAUGGAAGGAGUUCUUGAGGGGGUUGCAGAAGUGUCAGCCCUGGCUCCAUCUCUAGAGAGAUAGUUCUACUCCAGUUUCCUAGGGCUUCUUCACCUGCAGAAAACAUUCCUUUGAUCAGAAUUUGAGUUCACCUACCAGCUGGAUCCACAUUCUCAAAUCCCUGGUACUUUGCUGUACAGCUGCCCAAGCUGGUCCCACUGCCUAGAGAAGGAAGCAAGGAUACUAGAGGCAGUUCUGGCCCUCUUUGCAGCAGGGAGAGUGUGUUCUGGAAUCUCACACUGGAACCCCAAAAGCAUCACCCUAUAGAGAAAUAUAUCUACAUACACAAUAAACUAAGACAAUAAAGGUUUAAAGAGAAUUGGGAACUCUAAGGGUUGUUUGCU